rnacentral:rRNA from 1 species
GAUCUUGCGCAAUCGGCGCAAGCCUGACCCAGCCAUGCCGCCUGAUUGCCUAAUGCCUUAGGAUUUUAAAAUUCUUUCACCGGGGAAGAUAAUGACCGUACCCGGAGAAGAAGCUCAGGCUAACUUCGUGUCAGCAGCCGCGGUAAUACUAAGGGGGCUAGCGUUGCUCGGAGUUAGUGGGCGUGAAGGGCGCGUAGGCGGACAUUUAAGUCAUGGGUGAAGUGCCAGGGCUCAACUCUGGAACUGCCUUUGAUGCUGGGUGUCUUGAGUGUGAGAGAGGUAUGUGGAACUCCGAGUGUAGAGGAGAAAUUCGUAGAUAUUCGGAAGAACACCAGUGGCGAAGGCGACAUACUGGCUCAUUACUGACGCUGAGGCGCGAAAGCGUGGGGAGCAAACC